GUGAGUUUGUGUGCGACUCCCUUAAAACAGUCUUGCUUUCCCACAGCCCUCAGGCUCUCCCAGACCUAAGCCCCUAUUGGUUUUCAAGGCCAGAUAUUGGGCUCCCUGGGCUGGGGAGCCCAAUGUGGGGCUCAGACCUCUCGCUCCUCAUGGGAAACCUCCACAACUGUGAUAUCCCUCCCGUUUGUGGGUGACUGCACUGAGAUGCAGUUUUGGUGUGUCCAUGGGAGGAGACAAGCUCAGGAUGCUCUACUCUGCCAUCUUGAUCUGGAACUUAUUUUGUUUCUUAAGCACCGUAAGCCUGUGACCUUCUCAAAACCUCUGUACAUACCUGAUGCUUAGAACGUCUCUCCAAGGUCUCCACUCUUUCUCGUCAUUCAGAUCUGAGUUCAAAUGCCACUCGCCUCCCUAGAGAGUCCCUCCCUGACCUCCUUAUCCCUGUCACCAACCCCAGUCACAUUUUAUCCCAUCAUCCAAUUGUCAUUUCUUCACAGAGAUUAUCUGGUUUUAUCUUGAUAGUUUAUGGGCUUACUUAGUUAUUUUCAACCUACUCUCCACAGGACAUAAGCCUCAUGAUAGCAAAGACCUUAUUUGUCUUACUUACCCUGAUGCCCUCUAUGCCCAGAGCAAAGCCUGAUA
ensembl:lncRNA